rnacentral:rRNA from 1 species
GUCCACGCCCUAAACGAUGUCAACUGGUUGUUGGGAAUUAACUUUCUCAGUAACGAAGCUAACGCGUGAAGUUGACCGCCUGGGGAGUACGGCCGCAAGGUUAAACUCAAAGGAAUUGACGGGACCCGCACAAGCGGUGGAUGAUGUGGUUUAAUUCGAUGCAACGCGAAAACCUUACCCACCUUUGACAUGGCAGGAACUUACCAGAGAUGGUUUUGGUGCUCGAAAGAGAACCUGCACACAGGUGCUGCAUGGCUGUCGU